UACAACUUACGGGUCGGGUCAAGGCUGCAGAUCAAGAACAUGGUGGCGCCCGCCCGUAAAUUUCGGAAACCUUUCACAGUUUCUUACGGUAGACCAAAGAUGGAUUCACCGUCACUGCACGUUGACCACUUUUUCCCAAUUCCUUUACGAGACUCCAUAUCCCUACGCCCGCUGCGAGAGAAAGAUGCGGAGUCUGUUUUCCGCGUCGUGGACAAAAACCGAGACUUUUUGAGCAAGUUUUUGCCUUGGGUUCCCAAUGUGAUCACUGUUCAACAGGAAGUGGAGUGGCUUAGCUUUUUCCAAGAGCAGGAGAUGAGCGGUGCCGGCCUACAUUGCGGCAUUUUCAAGGAGCAGAUCUCGCGAGAUGAGCGUGUCGAAGAGAUAAUUGGGGCUGCCGGACUGAGGGUUAUAAACUUUGCCAAGAAGACGGCACAAUUUGGUUACUGGCUUGCUGAAGAGUUUACAGGCUCUGGCCUGUGCACUCUCGCCUGCCGAAAGUUGAUUGAGUACGGCAAGGCCAUCGGGAUGGAGCGGUUUGAGAUUCACGUUGCAGAGGACAACCUGAAGAGUCAGGCAGUAGCCCUCAGACUCGGAUUUCACCAAUGCCCCAAAAUUAUCAAGAGUGCAGAGGUUGUCAACAAUGUGCCCCUCUCGCACAUUGUUUUUGUACUACAACUUCAAGAGCCAACAUCGACCUCAGAGUGAAAGUUCCAGCUAUGGUCACCAUGGUUACACUUUUUACUGGCCUGCAGGCCCUGCACAGCCGAGAAUGGCACCUUCUCAGAGGAUUUCCUGCCAUGAUUCCCUCCAGUACCAUUUUGCCUGCAUGUUUUCUGAAGUUCUUUGUGUUAGGAGCUAUAUGUAUUUGGACCCUCGUUAAUGUAAUUGGAGCUUCUUAAGGUGUGGUUUGGGCAGAAACUGUAGGUGUGGAUGGCCAAGUUCAAAAGAACUCAAAAGAGCCAGUCAACAGAAUCCAGUUCAUUUUCAGCAGUUUAUUCUACUGGUUCAACUGUCUAUUAGUAUAGUUUCUAAUACAUUUAUGUAAAUAAAAAUCACACACAACUGCAUUUAAAUAACACCUUGACAAGAAGAUGCAAAGAUAUUUUUGUACUAUGAACUCACGCAGAACAAAUCAAACUUUCUGAAUAGCAUACUUCCUUAUUGAACAAGUCACCAGUAUGUUUAUAUGACAUUAUCUUUCUUGAAGUAAACAGAGUCGAAAUUCCAGCAAAUACAAGUAGAGAUCUCUUGCUAUAUAUACAAAUAAAAUCAUAUAAAUUUAUACAGCUGUUGCGUCAUCGAGUAAAUUCCCCAACUUAGUUGGAAAGGCAAUGAGAUACAGAGCUACAUGUACAACUAAUAUAGGUAAAUAGGCAAAGUAAAAUACAGCCGAUAAAAUGUGCAAAAGUUAAAUUGGAUAAAAUUUUGAGGUUCCAAUGGCAGUCUGAGUAUGAAAUAAAAUGAGUAAUAUUUGA
rnacentral:misc_RNA from 1 species